rnacentral:rRNA from 1 species
AAGCGGAGGAGCAUUGUGGUUUAAUUCGAUGAUACGCGAGGAACCUUACCUGGGCUUGAACGUAUGGUGCAUUAGGGUGAAAGCCCUAUUUCUAGCAAUAGACUUCAUACGAGGUGCUGCAUGGCUGUCGUCAGCUCGUGCCGUGAGGUGUUAGGUUAAGUCCUGCAACGAGCGCAACCCCUGUUUCCCAGUUGCCAUCAAGUAAAUUGGGGACUCUGGAGAGACUGCCUGCGCAAGCAGAGAGGAAGUGGGGAUGACGUCAAGUCAGCACGGCCCUUACGUCCAGGGCUACACACGUGCUACAAUGGCCGGUACAGAGGGCAGCGACCUGGUGACAGGUAGCGAAUCUCCAAAGCCGGUCUCAGUUCGGAUCGGAGUCUGCAACUCGACUCCGUGAAGCUGGAUUCGCUAGUAAUCGGAUAUCAGCAAUGAUCCGGUGAAUACGUUCCCGGGCCUU